GCCAUGUUAGGAUAGUGGUGAGUAUCGUGCGCGUCGAAAUAGUCGGAAAUGACUACCAGACUCCUUCUGGAGUGCUCAUGACGUGGGUUCGAUUCCCAGACAUGGUC